AGUGAGCUCAGGGAAGUCAAACUCCCCCUGAUAAAUCACUAUCCUUUUUUCACCAUUUUUCAGUGAUUCAGCCAGUCUUGCAGAUUGCGUGGAGAUGAGGAAGCUUGCAGAAAUACUUGGAAAUUCUCGUGUGAUCACUCGAUGAAGAUUUUCUGACGUAAAAUUAACCGGAUGUUGCGGAAGUAGAGGGGAAAUUGAUAGCUGAGUUUAGUUAUCGAUGUUUGCGAGGAAAUGGCAAUAAAUACAAUAUCUUGCACAAUAACAGAAAUGUUUGUGGUAAGCUGAGGGAAAAAUUCAAAUGGUUCGUACGAGUAAUGCGAUACUCUCCCAGAUUUCUCUCGCGUAUUCAAAGGGUGAAAAGAAGCGGGGGAAAUAAAGAUUUAAAUUUAAUAUACCAUUUUCCCACGAGAAGUGGGGCUGGAGGACCCUCUGGGUCCAUUACCAUUGCCUUUCAUAAUGGCCCACCCAAGAUACUGGUUAUUCAGGCACAACUCAGACUCGUGAAUAAAACCAGUUCAAUGUUUACUUUGUAAAUAAUCAACUUUAUGGUAAAUAUUUCUCUCGGUCAUUUGUACAUUUGCAGGAAGACGGUUCAAAUAUAACAUAUCAAUAAAUCUCGAGUUAGCUGGAAAAAUAGAUUGAAAGGCACUUGAACAUUGUGCGUACUUGACUUUAUCACAUUGAAUGGUAAUAUCUCGAAUUAAAUAUCUCGUAUUCAACUUUAAUAGAGCCGAUUAAUGAACGCAAAGAUCUUUUAUAUUUCUCAAUCAAAUAUUAGUUUUAUGAAAAUCUCUAUUCAGCUAAUGACAGCAUUCCUCAUGUUAUUUUCGUUUCUGCUGGGAUAAAUCAAAUAAUUUUCAACACAAUGUCGAUCUUUACGUUCCUCGAUUUCCGUACAAUAAACUCAAAAAUCUUAUUCAUCCAAAAGAAAUGGUAAUAUACUGUACAAAA